CCUACGGGUGACAGCAGUCGAGAAUCAUUCACAAUGGGGGGAACCCUGAUGGUGCGACGCCGCGUGGGGGAAUGAAGGUCUUCGGAUUGUAAACCCCUGUCAUGUGGGAGCAAAUUAAAAAGAUAGUACCACAAGAGGAAGAGACGGCUAACUCUGUGCCAGCAGCCGCGGUAAUACAGAGGUCUCAAGCGUUGUUCGGAAUCACUGGGCGUAAAGCGUGCGUAGGCUGUUUCGUAAGUCGUGUGUGAAAGGCGCGGGCUCAACCCGCGGACGGCACAUGAUACUGGGAGACUAGAGUAAGGGAGGGGGAACCGGAAUUCGCGGUGUAGCAGUGAAAUGCGUAGAUAUCGAGAGGAACACUCGUGGCGAAGGCGGGUUCCUGGACACUAACUGACGCUGAGGCACGAAGGCCAGGGGAGCGAAAGGGAUUAGAUACCCCAGUAGUC
rnacentral:rRNA from 1 species